UACGUUUCUUAAAAAAAAAUUACGUUUCUUUCAAUAACAACAUCUCGAACUGACAAAAAAACUGUUCAUCUGCAGUUUUUGCUAGAUCCGGAGCAAAUUUUAACACAAAAUAUAAACAGUACAGAUACAGCGCGUAAACUUAAUUUUAUGUUGACAAACAGAGUCACUGAACCUAAACAAAGAUUUUAAUAGUACAGUGACUUAAAUUUAUUUUGACAAACAAACCGUCUAAACCGAUACAAAGAGACAAUUAAAACGAUAGAUGUCUAACUAUGUAAGUAAGGUAUCUAUGGAGUAGUAAUAAGUCUGGAUUAGAGAUACAGAACCGAGGUGAUAUUACAAUUACAACUCAGUCCAUUAACUUAUUUCACAAAAAACACGAGGCGUUUGGGCGAUAUAUUUUCUGAUGCUAAAGAUUGAAACACUGUGUUAAGCUUAAAUGCCGUCUGCGAGUUCGGUGGUCCCAAGUUGUUAUGUAAAAUGUUGCCAACCAGAUCAUUUGACGCUGACAUUCUCUUUCAUCAAACUGAGACUACAAUUAAAAGUUUGUGUGAAACCGUGGUGUACAACACGAAUGGUAUAUUUGUUUUUGUCCACCUUUUAAAAAACAUCCAUAACAACUAGAUUACGGACAAGAAUGUCGCUUUAAUAAUUAUUCGUUUUUGUACACACCUUGCAGCCAAAAUAAAGCAGAAAAAAUGUUAAUAUUUUCCUAAUUGGUACUUUCUAGCUUUCAUUUUACAGUCCACCAUGCUUACAUUGUGUAAUAAAAAGUUUUUUUUUAUCGGUGACGUCCUUGUCAAGAACCUUGUAAUUUAGGCCAGAUUUGGCCCAUUACCCAAACACUUUGUCCAUAUUUCUUUAUCCCCGUGUGCUUUUUAUACAAACAAGUUAUCACACUUUUGAACUCUGGCACACUUUUCAACUUUGUUUUUGAUAUGGCCACGGUUUUGGAAAUACAGAAGCUGCAGGUUGCAAACAGACUGUCAGGCUUGUUUUGUAUUAUUAAUAAAGUAGUAUAUAAAUUUGGCCCGUAAGAAAAUCUGCAUGUAGCCUUUUAGUUUAAAACAGAUGAAGGAUUUUAUUGCCGGGUAAAUUUCCCUGAAUACUUCAAUAAUUGUUUGAAUGAUCCCAAGUCUGUGUUUAAAGAACUGCAGCAAGGAAUUUAUUUUAAAUGUCCUGAACUUAUAUACCUAUCAAAAUUGAUCCGCACUGCUCUUGUGUUAUACUAAUGUCCAGGCUUAUCAAAUAGCUGCAAGCGAAACUCCCUUUUUAUGUCUUUGCAAAAAAGGUUAAAAAGUAGUAAAAUUAAUGCUUUUAAAGAUGCAAAGCUUUUACAAGCCCGUGGAAGCAUAUCCAAUAACGUUAUUUUAAUGGUUUAAUGUGUGGUACCUAGGAAAAUCUGUGUAAUACGUUAGAUGCGAUGAUAAUUGAAAUUUUUAUGAGAGUGUUGUUAUUAAUGGUGCAGGGUUUAUAAAACAAAACAAUAUAUCGCACUUGUUAUAAAACCUUUUUCCCAAAUAACUAACCAGUUUUAAUAAACGCUAACCAGUUACAAUAAGAAAAAAAAAACGAACUUUAACUAAUAAAUUUAAUAAAUGCUAACCAGUUACAAUACUGGAGAAAAUGCCUUUUGGAAAUUUUGAUCACACAGAAAAAGUUAAAUGAAGUCUGCUAUUGGCCCACAAUGACUAGAAGAAAAAAAAAACGAACUUUAACUAAUAAAUUUAAUAAAUGCUAACCAGUUACAAUACUGGAGAAAAUGCCUUUUGGAAAUUUUGAUCACACAGAAAAAGUUAAAUGAAGUCUGCUAUUGGCCCACAAUGACUAGAAUUAGCUAGGAAAUUUGGUGUGGACCUUAUUGACCCAAUUUCUAGAGUCCCAAUGUGAAAUUUGUGCUUGACAGCAGUAACUUGUUUGAUCAGCAAAUUGGCCCUGAAAGUUAAUGCAUACAUAUUUUGUUAAUCAGGUUUUAUUUAUUUUCAAUCAGUCACAAUUUAUAGAUUAGUCAAAAGAUUUUCAAAAAGCUUUAAAAUGAAACAUUCAUUCACCAACCCAGUGCUAAGAAACAACCAAAUAGGUACACUAGCAAACAUACAGCACAAAAAAAUCCUUUGAAAAUAAUAUAACAAAGUGAGGGAGGUUUAUAUUUAAAAACAAGGCGGUUAGGUUUUACGGCGAAAUAUGGAAAAAAAUAGUAGAAAAGAGGGGGGUUUGAACACAGUAACCACAUACUUAAAGGCAUAAUUAUCAUUUCAAAGUUUGCAGCUGUAAAACGAGUGACUUGGCCCGUACGAAAUAACGGCAAUGUUAAACGAUGAAGCAACAUGCCAGUAAGAAAAUAUUGCAAUUCAAGAAAAUUCAAAACAAAAAAAUUUCUGUCACAAAGUAACAGAAUUAAAGUUGCAAUUUUUAAAACAGUAUUUUUUUAUGCGUUUUGACACAGGUCGUAAGCAUAAAUAUUUAAUUGCGUAAUCAAAAUAGGAUCAGCACAUCUGCUACACCUGACCAAAAAUGACUCCUAUUUACCUAAAAACUAUACUGGUAGAAAUAUUCUUUUCCAAGAAAGGCGUUUGUUGUUAAACAGGUAUUGAAACCUUUAUGGGCAAGCACCCAUUAAACAAGAAAGGAAGUUGUUUGUUUUUAUACAACCCUUAAAAUAAAAGUUUUAAUGCACCUAAAUGGGAAGUGCUGCAUGAUUGAAUGAUAAGGUAAUAACCAUCGGUUCCCAAACUGGCUCUCUCUUUGAAGGUGUGUGUCUUUGCAUUUUCCGCUUGAACAUGUUUAUUUUCAACCAAUUAGGCUGCGGUUUCUGUGUUAGUAGCAAACAAGCUUUGGUGGCAUGUCAAUAAAUCAAGACUAAGUUUUUAAACAAUUACUAAAUUGUUUUUAGCUCCUAACACUGGCUGGCAUUAGAUAUUUAUUUUGAGCUUUUAAAUCGAUGUAAAUGAACGCACCAUGACCAUCUAUACGAUUCACAGGAAAGACAGAAGCUUGUGGAAAACAAGCCUUUAUCCGAAACUUUAAGUACAGAAACCUCUUGCUUAAUAAUAUAUCGAAAACUGAUUGGCAACACAGCCGACUGCUUUCUGUGUGAAUGGUAAUUAAACUAUUUAACUACUAAGUUAGUGUUAACAAUUCAAAGAGAUACACAUAUCGUACUCACUUAGUUCCUAACAAUAUCUUAACUGGCAUUAAAGUCAGUCUUCAGGCCCCAUUCGGAUGCAACCGAACGAGGUUUCCUUGAAGCCUUUUGCAAAGCCAAGCUCUCAGUCAGAAAUUAUAUUUUAAGUUCAUGUUUGCGGCGCAGCAAGGGCAAACAAUCAUCUAUUCUCUGAAAUACUGAAAGGACAACCGUAACAAUUGUCUCACAUUAUUUGCAGUUCCGAAAUAUUUAUCCUGUUCACCAACAAGUGUAAAUUCUGAACGGCUGUUUAGCACCAGCACGUCUGGUGUGAUCGUGUCACCACUCAUAAACCGGCUGAAGCCAAUUUAGCCAAAAUGUGUUUAAUUGCUUGUUUGCGCUUAUGAAACUAUAGAUUCAUCCUAUUUUUGUGUUUUUGUUUCAAAUAGUUGUAUUAGUAUUGUUAAUAAAGUGGGCAGAACAAUACUGUCGCCAAGUGUAAAAGAAAAACCUUCAUUCUGUUAGAAACAGAAAUUUUGUUGUAAAAGAAAAAGUGGGCGGAUAGAAUGGAGAGAUAGCAGCGUUCUUCUUGUUUACUGCUGUUGCUGCUGCUAGUAGAUUGUAUAUUGACUUCAGAGGUUGCGUGCUCUUAGACUGAACGCCUUGGACUCGUUCUGACUGCUUUAUCAAUUGCAGAUGUGUGUUAACUUUUAUUAUCACCACUAACGACUAUAACUCGCACAGUAUAAGUCGAUAAUAACUCUCACAAUUUAGUGAUAAAACAAACUCAAUAUAGUUAGCACUGAAAAGUGCUUUACCAGAGAUAUCUAUCGUAAGUGCUUUACCAGAGAUAUCUAUCGUACUAUAGAGGUUUCGCGGGUAGCUCUGAUUUAAACCACUUGAACUCUAUCACGUAUAUAGAGGGACAGAUAUGACGUGUUCCGUAAAUGAUUUUAGCGUAACGACCGAUUCCAGUUUGUAACGUUAUUUAAGUGUUUAGACAUUAUGACAUACUAACAGAAGUCCCGCAAGAUAAAUCAGUAGUGCAGAAUGAGCACUUAUUAGUUGUAUCGAAGCGAUGAUAGCCUUGUUAUAUGUAGUGCUCAUUUCUCUUCACAUCUGAUUUUUCCAGUAAAUUCAUUGAAUGUUGCCGAAAACUGUAUCACUGCUACAAUGUUUUAUAUUAUUCUAUAUGGACUUGUUUGUUGUAUUUUAAGGCCUAAAGAAAGACUUCGUUGUGAUGCUAGGCCGUCACUAAAUAUGGCAGUUACGGCGUAAAUUGUAGCCAGCGCAUCAAAUCGCAAACGUCUCUGCUUCCAUUUGUAAAGGAUUGGACAGUUAUGUGACUGGUAGCAAAAAACGGGAGAUACAGGGAAAAGUAGAACUGGCGAUCAGCAAGGCAGGAUCUGUGCCACAGUUAUGGUGUUUGUUGAUAGAGGUUCUUGUUUUGAUAUACGGAACCUCUAUUUCAUAGUAUCUAUUAAAAAAACAGAUGAGACAUCUGUGUUUUAAUAUGAUGGCUGGAGAGGGAAGUUGAAAUUAACAAUAAUAUCCUAAAGCUGCUGCCUACAUUCUUGGCUUCGUAGAAAGACAAAAAGUUUGUCUUGGAUCACAGAAAAUUGGUGUUGAUCACACACAACCACUAGCUGCAAGAAGCUAAAGAAAUCAAUAGAAGAAAACGUGACAAACAUCGGCUCUAAAGGGGAUUGUAGAGAAAGUAAAAGCUAAGGGCCCAGUUGGCUUAUAUAUUUAUGCUUUAUUUGUAGAGUAAGUAAUAAAUUCAUAAUGUUUGUGGAUUCACCCAUUUUUUCAAACAGGCAAGACGUGAAAGGUGCAGUCAAACUCUUAAUUUUGCUGUUUUAUAGAGUUUAUUUUAAUUCUAUUAAAUGAUCAACCAUAUAAUAUUUAAGAAAUGGAGAAGACCAGCAAUGCAGGAGCCAAUUAGCAAGUGGGCACCGAACUUCUCCGAUUCGGAACGCAUCUUGCUGAUAUAGAAGAGGGUCAUCGAAUGCAAGAAGACCGACCUUCUAAAUAGAAAGAUGCAGCGUGGGCAAGAUGUGACGCAUCAUUUUAACGUCUGUAUCAGUAGCGCUGCCCGGGAUCCUUCCCACCCAAUGGCGUGGCGAAAAUUAAAAACCCACGGAAAGAAAUAGUCCGCGGCACGUCGUCGGGAAACCUUCCGUAGCGGAGGUGGUCCGCCGCCUAAGGAAGACGAUCUGAGCGCCAGGUUUUGUGUUUACGUUUGUCUUCGCUGUUGGUUGUUGCGUUUGCAUGAAAAUAUUGCAGCAACUUUUCCUGGAAAAUUGCUUCGACUCGGAUUCUACAUUGAAUCAGGUUCAUUUGCGUGUCGGUAUGGAUUAACAAGAGUGCUAAAAUGUUAAAAAAGGUUUAAUAAAACUUAUACCAUAUGACACAGUCCUUACACCCAAUGUAACUGUUGAUGAACGUUUCAACGGCAUGUUCAUCAACCCUGAUUGUCAAUUUUCUUCCGUUACUGUAGGUGCUUGCAAGCAAUAAAGCACGGGAGGAGCGGGAGGCGGAAAAGCAUAAGCUGAUUGUUCGGAUGGCUGUCGAACAACAUGACAUGGUUGUGAAACAACAUCAGAUGGUUGUCGAACAAAAACUGAGGGCUGUGAGACAGGAAGCAAGGAAGACUGCUUUAUAUGAAGCAAAAUUGCAUCGGCAGUACAUCAACCGCAAUUGUAGCCUUUUUUAUGCUCAGAACGAAGAAAAUAGUCAUAUUUAUCGCAUCAGAGUUUUCUGCGAACUGUUUGCAUUGGUCCAAUGCUCUGCGACUCAAAUUUAGAUCUCGGGGAAGGGCUUCUGCUGACCUGCUCACCAACAAAACCUCGAGAAAGCAAAGUUUGGGUAGAGCAGCAGGUCAGGUCCGAGAAUAAGCACUUUGAGUCAAAAGGCUAUGACAGCAAACAUUACGUGGCAGCAAAUACUUGAUUCAAA